rnacentral:rRNA from 1 species
GACGAACGCUGGCGGCGUGCCUAAUACAUGCAAGUCGAACGAGAGCGACCGGUGCUUGCACUGGUCAAUCUAGUGGCGAACGGGUGAGUAACACGUGGGUAACCUGCCCAUCAGAGGGGGAUAACAUCCGGAAACGGAUGCUAAAACCGCAUAGGUCUUCGAGCCGCAUGGCUUGAAGAGGAAAAGAGGCGCAAGCUUCUGCUGAUGGAUGGACCCGCGGUGCAUUAGCUAGUUGGUGAGGUAACGGCUCACCAAGGCCGUGAUGCAUAGCCGACCUGAGAGGGUGAUCGGCCACAUUGGGACUGAGACACGGCCCAAACUCCUACGGGAGGCAGCAGUAGGGAAUCUUCCGCAAUGGACGCAAGUCUGACGGAGCAACGCCGCGUGAGUGAAGAAGGUUUUCGGAUCG